rnacentral:lncRNA from 1 species
CCUCCUGACAAGAUAUCACUAAUGGAAUUUGAUUUUUAAAAUAUUAAGAAUUACAAAUAUCCUAGCAACCAAAUCUUCCCAUAUUACUGACAAGUAGGACUCAGUAGGUUGUGGUUUGAGCAGUGUGAAUGUGAACAAAAUGAAAUCUCAGUUGAGAAGUCUUUUUCUCCUCUAGUUAAAGAGAACAUUCUAGUAACUUUGGUUUCUCUUUCCAAGUUGUUGACUCUGUUUCAGGUGUACUCUUUGAAACUGAUUUCGAAGGAUCACUUGAAUUUACACUUUAGUUAUGGGUGCUUUGUUAUAGUAUUUUGCAUUAUGAC